CCUACGGGUGGCAGCAGUAGGGAAUAUUGCUCAAUGGGGGAAACCCUGAAGCAGCAACGCCGCGUGGAGGAUGACGGUUUUCGGAUUGUAAACCCCUUUUGUUAGAGAAGCUACUGACGCUAUCUAACGCAUAAGUACCGGCUAAACCAGUGCCAGCAGCCGCGGGCAUCCGGCGGGUGGAAGCGGUACUAGGAAUCACUCGGCGGAAAGAGCGCGUAGGCGGGAUAGCAAGUCAGAUGGGAAAUCCUCUGGCUUAACCAUAGAACUGCAUUUGAAACCGUAAUUCUAGAGUAUGGGAGAGGUAGGUGGAAUGCUUGGUGUAGGGGUAAAAUGCGUAGAGAUCAAGAGGAAGACUCAUUGCGAAGGCGACAUGCUAGAACAUAACUGACGCUGAAGCGCGAAAGCGUGGGGAGCAAACAGGAUUAGAUACCCGAGUAGUC
rnacentral:rRNA from 1 species